rnacentral:lncRNA from 1 species
AGGAUUUCCUUGUUCAGAUCAAUCUGCCUAAAGCCCAUUUCCUCCAGCUCCCUCAGCAGCUUCUCUUCAUUGUGACCAUCUAUGUCAAAAGGCUCAGGUGCUGCGGCGCUGGCUGCAGGUGGAGGCACAGGCACAGAAGCAGGGGCAGAUGCAGGUGCGGAUGCAGGGGCAGGCAUAGAAACAGGCACAGUUGUAGGCAGGAUAGGCACAUUAACAGGUGAAGGUCCAACCGGGGCAAGCAGCUCAGGUGCAGGUGCAGGUGCAGGUGCAGGCACACUAACAGAAGGCACAAAAGCAGCAGCAGUGGCACUGGACAUGGGAACAUCAACGACAAGGUUUGCAGGAGCUGCUGCAGGCAUAGAGGUAGCAACUACUAGAGCAGGCUGAGAUUUCUUGGGCUCUGGAACAUCACUCGGAUAGAAGUGGAACUCUUUAGUGCGUUUGGCAUGUGCACUAAGGGCUGGGUCAACAGGCUCAAUGUUCACAUCAAUUAGGCUAGUUGUGUUUGCACUACUGCCUUCUGGUGGCAGAUUCAGAUUAAUAGCAGUGUUCCUGUUAUUGUCAUUAACAAAGGAAGGAUCUUCCACCUACAGAUGCAGUUACAGUUCAAAAAUUCAGGUCAGAAAGAAAAUUACUAAGAGUAAACAUCUACAUUUUGGAAAACAAUGUUAAGGUAACAACCUGAAUAUGAACCCAAACUCGCUGACCAAAUUUCUGACCAGAAGGUGAUGCCAACCUCCAGUAAGAUAUGUACCUCCCAGGCCUUGUGGGUGCCACAAAAUCAACAGCAACAUCAAUCUCCUUAUCCACAGGAAACCCAUUGACUGGAAUCUGCACAAUACAAGAAAGCUCAUAACUGAGAACUUGUACAUUUCUAUAACAUGCAGCCUAAUUUGCAAUUCAAAGAAGCAAGCGGAAAUCUAAUCAGAGUAAAUAUAGCUACCUCUAAUGGAACAGAGGUCUGCAAUGCAAACUGAUCUCCACCGACCCAGAUAAGCUGUGUGCCCAAUGGCCACACGAUAGACCCAUUGUUAUGCAUGCGCCAAAUCUUAGUAAACGGGGUAGAAGGUGUCAUCAGUGUGCCAUCCAGGACAGUUACAUCCAAAAUGAAGCGACUUUCAAGUUUCUCCCGUUUCGACUUCAUCACAACCCGUGGGUGGUGCACCUUUCGAUACUUAAAGAAAACAGAUUUUCAAAUCAGUUAUUCUGCUAAGCAACUUAGUCAUACAAAAGAAUACUCCAUCCAAAAUGAGGCACUCACCGAAUGAGGAUCUCUCAGUAACCUGUGUGGUAAAAUAGGCUUGUCUAUUUUGGUGUACUCAACUUCAUUUCCCAUGCGCUGGAAACAGGAAUUGCACAAAUCGUAGUCUUCUUUCCUGUGGGACAAACAGGAAGAUGUCAGAUCUAACAGCAUCAAAUACAACCAAGAAUUAUUGAAGUAGAAAGUUAUUCGAGGCCUUACACGUUAGAUUUGAAACGUGGACCAACAAUUGGUUGUACUCCACAACCAUCACACUGAAUCCAUCUAUGGAGACUACGUGGUGCAGAGUUCUCCAUAUUGCCAGCAAGAUCUCCAUAUGGAUGCCCAGAAGACAAGAGACGGCCUGGAUAAGGAAAAUGUGGAGAAGGUCCAUAGCCUGGUGGUGCAUGAGACACUGCUGCAGGUGGUGCAUAGGGAACUUUAUACAUUGGAAUGCGCCAUCUGGAAUCACUAGUGACUUUUGUAUUAUUUUCAGAUUGCCACUGGUGUGGUUGGCUCCUUCGUGGACGGAACAAUUCAGAAACACAAGGAGGUGGAGGCGGAACAUGAAUGGGAACAGCAUGCAGGGAGGCAGGCUGAGUGGCAGAGGACGCAACAGAUUUGCCCUUACUUUGAGCAUCAAUCUUCCCUUUGCAAACAGGUUUGUCAACUGAAUUACUGGGGAACAGCAACUCCUCAACAGAUGGGUACAUUGAUGGUUGCUGACCUUGAGAAGCCUCAACACUAGGAGCAGCAACAGGAGCAUCCUUUAACACACUCCUAAGAUCCAAACAUGCCUUAGCUUUGGGCUUAGCUAUGGCAGGAACAGCAACAGGAGCAUCCUCUGCCACACGAGUAGAAGAGGUGGAUGACCCUUCAGCAUGUGCAUCAGAUGGUCCAUUGCCACCAUUGCUCGGUGCCAUCAUUUGCACAAAAGGUUUCAUCAGCUCAGCUAAUGGUGGUGGUGCCGCAUCAAGUACUUCAUGAGAGAGUUUUGCAAGGGCAUCAGGAAUUGGCUCUGGGAUAGACUUGAUAGCUUCACCUAUAGCUGAUUUUAUAUGUGCCAGACUUUCUUCCUGAGCAGGUUUCAAACCUUCGAUAGCUGACAUUAUCUGGGACAGUGGAUCCUGAGCAGUAGGCUUCACAGGUGUAGAAUUUCUCUCCUUUUGUUCAGUUGGUUGACUUUUCUUUAGCUGAACAGUAAUCCUCAGAGGGUUUAGUUUCUGACGCAGAGCUGCAUCACGCAGGUCAUCAUCAUCAUCUAGCAUGACAGCAUCACCAUCCUCAUCGGUGUAAGUCAGAAUGAAGUCAGCAUCAGGACCGAACUUAAAGGCAGUUGCUAUCUUUGCCCGCAGAGCAGAUAAAUUCAUGUCCAAAUGAGCUCCAUUGACACAACCAUAAAACCUCUUAAGAGUGUCACCGUAUUUGACCUGCAAUAUGUUAAAGAAAAUCAGAAAGUUACAGUAAGAUAAUACACUCAUAGUCAGCACUUACAGCUAGAAGAUCAAAUGAAAACAGUGAUAUAUGCGAGAACAAAAAUCAUAUAAAGUUGGGGACAUGAAGCUCUUUAAAAUUGACCUGUUGAAACCCUCUAGGAACAACAACAAAAAAUUGCCAGGUUUCAAAACAACAAAAAGGACAUUAGUUAAACAAUCUGGAUAAACAUGGUGGAAGUGUCAGAGGAGUACGGAAAGAAAGGACAACUCAACAAAGUUGAAAUGGUGGAACCAUAAAGUUAAAUCAAAGCAGUCUAAUGGAAGAAACAUAUUACACCUACUGCAGCCUCAAGAUGCACUUAGUCAAUGUGCAAGGCUAUUCAAUCUUAUCGUUUCGACCUAUUCCAGAAAACCUGCAUGACUGAACCCUCAAUUGCAAUGAUCAUCCUUUUUCUGUUAUCCAAUUCAAAAUCAUAAAUGGCAACUAAACUAAAGCAAGGGAGAGCAAGAAGCAGAAAUAGAACAAUUGGAAUCUAACUGUUGUUCUGCCUAAAAUGUUCUUAACAUCUAUUCUUAAUCCACGUUGAAUCCAAAAACUGGCAUAGAGAACUGUACAAAGAGAUGGCUCUCUAUACAUCAUAUUCUAAAAAAAUACAUCUAGUUUCAUCAGAAAAUAAACAAUCUCGAUCUGAACAGUAAUACAGAACAGCUAACAUGCCCAAUUCCCCCCCCCCCCAUUUUUCCUGCUAUUUUAAGAAUCCAAAAGUGGGAACUCGUUAAUAGCACUCUUUAAAGUUAGAUUCAGAUAUCACAAAAUACCAUGUAGGAGCAUAUUUGAUGAGCAGAUUACCCUAGACGCCACAGGCAAACAUAGGACCAUCUUCAGUCAUUAACUAUCAGGCACCGACAGAUGAAUCCCCAUCCGAAGGUGUUUGGUAAUAAGCACGCACAAAGAAAAUCAUGUCCGUGGUCUCACACCACCAUCGGCAAAUAUAGAAGAAUCUUUAUCUUUAAACCACACGAUGAAUAAACUAAGAGACUCCAUCGCCUACACAAAAUAUCUCCUCGUGGAAAAAGAGAAUCUACACCAACAAAACAAACCGCAAAACCCUAGUCACCACAGGACUGUGGAAACCCCCUGUUUCCGUCGAUCUAAUACCCAAUCCGACCAUACCCACGGCCGAUCCAUGAUUCAACACAGAAACCCCCAACCCACGGCCCUCCCCACAUCGAUCAAAUCAAAACCAUGAACAGAGGCGGAGGUUCCCCCACACGGCCACACCUCACACCACCACCGUGCCCCCUAAAUCGCACAGAACCCCAAGUACGAAACCACAGAUUUUUCGGCCGGGGUGCCUCACCUUGAAUGUGACGUCUCGCACUUCGGCCUGCGGGCCGAAGGGGAAGAACGUCGGCGCGGCCGGCGAGCUCCGGUCGGACAUCGUGUCGGGGGGGAAGCCCCGCCGGGGGGAGGACGAAGCGGCGAUCUGGCCGAACCCUAGCGGAGUCAGUCGUCGAUCGAUUCGGGACGAACCCUUGACGCAAUCGGAGAGGAGGGGGAGGGGCAGGGGAGGGGGGGGAGCGGGCUGCGUAGCCGUGAGCCGCAGCUGUGGUGGUGAGGGGAGAGUGUCGAU